CAGUAGUCACGAGUUUGAUCCUGGCUCAGAACGAACGCUGGCGGCAUGCCUAACACAUGCAAGUCGAACGAGACCUUCGGGUCUAGUGGCGCACGGGUGCGUAACGCGUGGGAAUCUGCCCUUUGCUUCGGAAUAACAGUUAGAAAUGACUGCUAAUACCGGAUGAUGUCUUCGGACCAAAGAUUUAUCGGCAAAGGAUGAGCCCGCGUAGGAUUAGGUAGUUGGUGGGGUAAAGGCCUACCAAGCCGACGAUCCUUAGCUGGUCUGAGAGGAUGAUCAGCCACACUGGGACUGAGACACGGCCCAGACUCCUACGGGAGGCAGCAGUGGGGAAUAUUGGACAAUGGGCGAAAGCCUGAUCCAGCAAUGCCGCGUGAGUGAUGAAGGCCUUCGGGUCGUAAAGCUCUUUUACCAGGGAUGAUAAUGACAGUACCUGGAGAAUAAGCUCCGGCUAACUCCGUG
rnacentral:rRNA from 1 species